rnacentral:rRNA from 1 species
GACGAACGCUGGCGGCGUGCCUAAUACAUGCAAGUCGAACGAAAGCAACCGGUGCUUGCACUGGUCAAUCUAGUGGCGGACGGGUGAGUAACACGUGGAUAACCUGCCCAUCAGAGGGGGAUAACAUCCGGAAACGGAAGCUAAAACCGCAUAGGUCUUCGAACCGCAUGGUUUAAAGAGGAAAAGAGGCUCAGGUUUCUGCUAUUGAAUGGACCCGCGGUGCAUUAGCUAGUUGGUGAGGUAACGGCUCACCAAGGCCGGGAUGCAUAGCCGACCUGAGAGGGUGAUCGGCCACAUUGGGACUGAGACACGGCCCAAACUCCUACGGGAGGCAGCAGUAGGGAAUCUUCCGCAAUGGACGAAAGUCUGACGGAGCAACGCCGCGUGAGUGAAGAAGGUUUUCGGAUCGUAAAACUCUGUUGUUAGGGAAGAACAAGUGUUAGAGUAACUGUUAGCGCCUUGACGGUACCUAACCAGAAAGCCACGGCUAACUACGUG